rnacentral:rRNA from 1 species
GUAGGUGGCAAGCGUUGUCCGGAAUUAUUGGGCGUAAAGCGCGCGCAGGCGGUCCUUUAAGUCUGAUGUGAAAGCCCACGGCUCAACCGUGGAGGGUCAUUGGAAACUGGGGGACUUGAGUACAGAAGAGGAAAGCGGAAUUCCAAGUGUAGCGGUGAAAUGCGUAGAGAUUUGGAGGAACACCAGUGGCGAAGGCGGCUUUCUGGUCUGUAACUGACGCUGAGGCGCGAAAGCGUGGGGAGCAAACAGGAUUAGAUACCCCUGGUAGUCCACGCCGUAAACGAUGAGUGCUAAGUGUUAGGGGGUUUCCCGCCCCUUAGUGCUGCAGCUAACGCAUUAAGCACUCCGCUGGGGAGUACGGCCGCAAGGCUG